rnacentral:rRNA from 1 species
CCUACGGGAGGCAGCAGUGGGGAAUUUUGGACAAUGGGCGCAAGCCUGAUCCAGCCAUUCCGCGUGAGUGAAGAAGGCCUUCGGGUUGUAAAGCUCUUUCGCAAGGGAAGAAAACUUACAUUCUAAUAAAGUGUGAGGCUGACGGUACCUUGAUAAGAAGCACCGGCUAACUACGUGCCAGCAGCCGCGGUAAUACGUAGGGUGCGAGCGUUAAUCGGAAUUACUGGGCGUAAAGCGUGCGCAGGCGGUUUUGUAAGUCAGAUGUGAAAUCCCCGGGCUCAACCUGGGAACUGCGUUUGAAACUACAAGGCUAGAGUGUAGCAGAGGGGGGUAGAAUUCCACGUGUAGCAGUGAAAUGCGUAGAGAUGUGGAGGAAUACCAAUGGCGAAGGCAGCCCCCUGGGUUAACACUGACGCUCAUGCACGAAAGCGUGGGGAGCAAACAGGAUUAGAUACCCUGGUAGUCCACGCCCUAAACGAUGUCUACUAGUUGUUGGGAGAGUAAAAUCUCUUAGUAACGCAGCUAACGCGUGAAGUAGACCGCCUGGGGGAGGUACGGUCGCGAGAUUAAAACGUUAAAGUAAGUUAGUACGGNGUGAGAGUCGACGACGACGACGACGGAGGAGGAG